UUCCCUGUGGCUCAGUUGGUAGAGCAUGGUGUUUGCAACGCCAGCAUGGUGUGUGCAACGCCAGGGUUGUGGGUUCAAUUCCCACGGGGGGCA
rfam:Salmo salar isolate Sally breed double haploid chromosome ssa09, whole genome shotgun sequence.